rnacentral:hammerhead_ribozyme from 1 species
AUCCAGCUGACGAAUCUCAAGUGUGACGAAACGCGCUUCCUGCAU